rnacentral:rRNA from 1 species
UACGGGGGGAGCAAGCGUUAUUCGGAUUUACUGGGCGUAAAGGGCGCGUAGGCGGCCACCGCAAGUCGACUGUGAAAUCUCCGGGCUUAACCCGGAACGGUCAGCCGAUACUGCGGGGCUAGAGUGCAGAAGGGGCAACUGGAAUUCUCGGUGUAGCGGUGAAAUGCGUAGAUAUCGAGAGGAACACCUGCGGCGAAGGCGGGUUGCUGGGCUGACACUGACGCUGAGGCGCGAAAGCUAGGGGAGCGAACGGG